rnacentral:rRNA from 1 species
GUCUAAGGCCAUACCACCCUAAAUGUACCGGAUCUUCUCUGAUCUCAGAAACUAAGCAGGGUUGGAUCUGGUUAGUACUUGGAUGGGAGAAAUAGUCUAGUAGAUA